AAGUCGAGCGAGCUUGCCUAGAUGAUUUUAGUGCUUGCACUAAAUGAAACUAGAUACAAGCGAGCGGCGGACGGGUGAGUAACACGUGGGUAACCUGCCCAAGAGACUGGGAUAACACCUGGAAACAGAUGCUAAUACCGGAUAACAACACUAGACGCAUGUCUAGAGUUUGAAAGAUGGUUCUGCUAUCACUCUUGGAUGGACCUGCGGUGCAUUAGCUAGUUGGUAAGGUAACGGCUUACCAAGGCAAUGAUGCAUAGCCGAGUUGAGAGACUGAUCGGCCACAUUGGGACUGAGACACGGCCCAAACUCGRACGGGAGGCAGCAGUAGGGAAUCUUCCACAAUGGACGAAAGUCUGAUGGAGCAACGCCGCGUGAGUGAAGAAGGGUUUCGGCUCGUAAAGCUCUGUUGGUAGUGAAGAAAGAUAGAGGUAGUAACUGGCCUUUAUUUGACGGUAAUUACUUAGAAAGUCACGGCUAACUACGUGCCAGCAGCCGCGGUAAUACGUAGGUGGCAAGCGUUGUCCGGAUUUAUUGGGCGUAAAGCGAGUGCAGGCGGUUCAAUAAGUCUGAUGUGAAAGCCUUCGGCUCAACCGGAGAAUUGCAUCAGAAACUKUUGAACUUGAKUWCAGAAGAGGAGAGUGGAAUCCAUUU
rnacentral:rRNA from 1 species